UACGAAGGGGGCUCGCGUUGCUCGGAAUCACUGGGCGUAAAGCGCACGUAGGCGGCUUUCUAAGUCAGGGGUGAAAUCCUGGAGCUCAACUCCAGAACUGCCUUUGAUACUGGGAAGCUUGAGUCCGGAAGAGGUGAGUGGAACUCCGAGUGUAGAGGUGAAAUUCGUAGAUAAUCGGAAGAACACCAGUGGCGAAGGCGGCUCACUGGACUGGUAUUGACGCUGAGGUGCGAAAGCGUGGGGAGCAAACAGG
rnacentral:rRNA from 1 species